CCGAGUUUACAACUCCCAAACCCCUGUGGAACAUACCUACUGUUCGCCUCGGCGGAUCAGCCCGCUCCCCGGUAAAAAGGGACGGCCCGCCCGAGGACCCCUAAACUCUGUUUCUAUAUGUAACUUCUGAGUAAAACACAUGAAUAAAUCA
rnacentral:misc_RNA from 1 species